AAUGUUCCCAGUGCAAACCCUUCUUCGAGAGCAAGACUGAAGCAUAAACGUGUCUUGUUUUCUCCUAGAUGUUGUAUACUUCUUCAGAACAAACAGUUUCCAAAUGCAGAGUUCUGUGAAAGGUUUAUCAUAGGGAGAUGGGGAAAUGGCACAUCUUCCUCUUACAAAGCAUGGGACAGCUGGAAACAAAAGUAUGUGUCACAGGAUAUUAGUGAUGGAAAAAAAAAAAGUAUUCAGGGCUGGUUGACUUUGUAUAUCCAAAGCCUCUUUUUUGGAGGACAGGAAUGUGAAAUACUGGAGCGUCCUGCAGAAAGGAGGCUUCCACAAAAAGACAAGGCUGAGGAUGCUAUUACAGCCUGGGACCAUGUCCUGCAUAAAUGGAAGCCACCGAGACUUAGACAAAUGUCUGCACAAGGCAGCCAUUUAGACAGCCCUGUUCUGGCCAAAGGUUUGGAUUCUGCCACGUGUCUAUGUUCUGCUGAACUAAGAGAGUUGGUCAAACCUAUAUCACGUUGGGCUGCUUCACAUGAGGAAAGAGGCCUCCACCAGCACCAAUGCUUCCUUAAAGGCAUGGCCCGUGAGGGUGAAGCAGGGAAGAAUCCUGCAGGACAAAUUACGCAUGAACUUAAUGAGGCCACACACCUCAGGGCUGUCUUCACCUGAAGAGCCUGCAGUCUGGAAACACUGCAGGCAGCAGCUGCACUGAAUGAUGCUCGGCGUAGUGAGAUUUUGUCACCCCCAAGAAAAAAACACUUUCCUUUCACAAUGUGCAUGGCUGCAUAUCAGACCGGCACUUGCCAUGGGCAUCUGAUGUUAAAUAAGCCUUGGUCAGCGUGUAUCUGAUGGGAGUUAUGACUUUUAUUGCUUCAGUUAAAACUAUGGUGUUAGAGAUGUCAGGUUGCACUUAAUACGUUUGUGUACUUGGCACUAUGUCGUGCUAAUCACUUCAGCAUUCCUUAUAUGUGGCGCUAGUUUCUCUAGUUUAUGGGAUACAAAAUCUUGAAUCUUGAAUAUUUCAUAGUUCUACUUAAAUAUAUUUCCUAAGUCCAGUUUUGGAAAGAAAAUACUUAAUCCUUUUUUUUAAAAAAAAAAAAAGUUGAUAAACUGGGUUUUGAGCUGGAAGUGAGAGAAAUAUUUAUAUUGUAGAUAAACAUGAGUUUUCAUGGAAUCUCAUGGCAGGAAUAUUUUAUUGGAAUGACUCUGCUGUGCAUAUUCAGGGAACAUAUAAUGGGAUAUAAACAAGUGGAAAAAAGUCAUCAUGGCACUUUGAGAAGGAAAUAAUUGCAUUUUAUUACCCAUUUGGGCAUCAUGAAGCAACUUCACUUCUAGUUUGACCCUUUAGUGUUGCUAAAAAGUGUCACUUGGUUUAAUAAAAAUAUCAUUAUCUUUUACUUAAACUGCA
rnacentral:lncRNA from 1 species